CCCCCCCCCCCCCCCCCCCCCCCAAUCCACACACCCGACUCUCCCAGCUCGGCGCACAGUCCGCCCUGGAAGGGCACGGAUGAGGCCGGCGUGCCUCCAGCGGGUAGGCGCGACCCCGCCUCUCACCCUCUCUGCUGUGCUCGGCCUAGGUCCAACCCCGCACCCCUACCCCUACCUCCGGCGGUCCUCUGUUUUGCCUAGUAAAGUUGUUCAUAGCAUCAUUAGCAAUUCCUAUGAUUUUGCGAGAAGUUCAGUUCGUGUUUCUGAAUGUUGAGUUACAUACAUAUGCAGACCUAUUUGUGUUAUAUAUAAGUCAGGCCUUUGUUCUCUUCAAAUCGUUACUCUGCACUAAGUAUAUCUAUUAGUACAACUCAAAGUGGCAGGACAUGUAUCUGUUUCAUUUUUCUGACUUCGACUAUGUGAGUGCAUUGUAAUCCAAGAGAUUGUUCUUCAUUCUUCUUGCAGGAAAGACGUGAUAAUUAGGAAAAUUUUGCUGAUACACUGUCAGAGAGUAUUGGUCGACUAAUGGCAAUCCGUCUCCUAUCGCGUCAAAAUCUGAGGAAGCUGGCCGCUUCCCUCACACUCCUUACUCCAUCCCAGAAGAUACUACUUUCGCCUUCCCAUCUGGCUCUUAGGGCAGGGAGCGCCGCGGGUUGCUCAAGGCGGCUCUACUGGCGUGCUUGCUCGUCGUUUGCUCCGGGAGAGGUGCCUCAUGUGGAUUUUUGUUCAGUAAGAUCGACCUGACGCCUCAUAUUUUAAUUUGGACAACUGGACUUGGUAUUAUGUAUUUAGUGGUUCUACAAAUGGUUCUUCUAUGGUUGACAUCACAAUUCUUCUAAUGAGUAGGUAAUUUUAACACCAUCUACUAUCAGUUCUGUAAUACCCAUUGGCGUUGGCUGGCAAGUAUUAUUAGUUUAUAUGAGCAUGUUCAUUUAUACUGAUGUAACUGAUCUAAAAGGAUUGGAGUAGUUUGGAAAAAUCAACUUAAAUGGUUACUCAACAUAUUUUCACAAGGAGGUUAUUACACGCAAAAAAAAGUUCCUCUUAGAGCAUUGCCUUCAGUUUCCCCCCUUCUACCAUAUAGUAGUACUGAUUAUAUGUGUCAUCUCGAUAUUAAUUUAGUUGCGAAUUUUGUGUAUGCCUUGAGAGUUUUGUAUUUGCUUCUCAAUUGGUUUCGUUUAGUUACAGCAGUAUGCCAAAUAAUCCAAAAAUAAUUAAUUAAAUCAUUGGACCGGCCAGAUAUAAAGAGCAUGAUUUAUACCAUCAAAUGAACAUAUAUUUUUAUAUGAAAUGAAGGCACAAUCUUAAAUCAGUGGGUGCAUGCACUGCUUCCUGCCUCUGUGCUUGCAAUUUAAAUGCAUUAUAUUUUACUCACUAAUACAUCUUGAAUAAUCUAAAAAGUAUAUUUUAAUCACUAAUACAUCCUACAGCAUUGCAUUUCACCAAGUGAAAUGCAACAUUUCUACUCCUAACCCAUUUUCUCUUUCUUAGUGUUUUUGUUAUGCAGGUUGGAAGAAAGGAACAAGAUCCACAGAAGAUCUUAGUAAUAAGAUAGUUUUGACUUUGUGAAACUUGCUAUCUAUCGAUGAAACUGUGUAAUAUUGAUGAAACUAUGUAUAUCUAUGGAUGAAACUUGCUACUAUUGGUAACAUGUGUUGGAUAUGUGUUCAUGACUAUUGGUAAUAUGUGUUGGAUAUGUGUGUGUGUGUGUGUGUGUGUGUGUGUGAUUUUCUAUGAAAAUGAAUUGAUAUGAGAAA